rnacentral:rRNA from 1 species
GAUGAACGCUGGCGGCGUGCCUAAUACAUGCAAGUCGAGCGAACAGACGAGGAGCUUGCUCCACUUACGUUAGCGGCGGACGGGUGAGUAACACGUGGAUAACCUACCUAUAAGACUGGGAUAACUUCGGGAAACCGGAGCUAAUACCGGAUAAUAUCUUUAAACGCAUGGUUCAAUAGUGAAAGACGCUUUUGCUGCACCCUAUAAUUAGAUCCGCUCCGCUUUAGCUAGUUGGUAAGGUAACGGCUUACCAAGCCAACGAUCCUUAGCCGACCUGGAAGGGGGACGGGCAACACGGGAAUUGAGAACCGGUCCAGACUCCUACGGAAGGAGCAGGUGGGGAAUCUUGCGCAAGGGGCGAAAGCCUGCCGGGGAAACGCCGCGUGAGUGAUGAGGGUCUUCGGAUCGUAAAACUCUGUUAUUAGGGAAGAACAAAUGUGUAAGUAACUAUGCACGUCUUGACGGUACCUAAUCAGAAAGCCACGGCUAACUACGUG